AUUUUUUUGUUUUCAAUCAAAGACGAGGUC
rnacentral:tRNA from 1 species